UGAGCAGAAUUUUGUUUCACAUGGAAUAAACAAUUGUGAACUAAAUCUUCGUUCUUAAAUAGUACCAAAGCUUUAGAACAUGGGUAAAAAAGUAAACUCUUUAAAUAGUUAUAUCAGUUAUGUUACAAUAACUAGGUUACUGAUAAACACAACAUUGUGGUUCUACUUUUAUCAACAUUCAGGUAUUCAAGACAAUUCAGUAGUCUAAACAUGGAUCAGCUCCGAUCCCCAUACUUAAGCAUGAUAUCGGGGGACACUGUCUUCGUACCUAGAACGCUGGAAGAACCCGCACUGGGGCAGAGAAGAAAAAGAACAGUUUAAGUUUGAAUUGCUGCCAAAGCACUACAAUUACAGAGGCAGUAAAUUCUUCCUUUGCACAGAUACACAGGCAGAAGACCAAAAGAGUGAACUAGACCGACACGUUCAAAGUGGGUCCCACAGUGUCUUCUUGUGCCUGCUCAAUCCUGCAUGAAGUACACAUACUCACUGUCUGUGUGCACCAGCUAACACCUGGGCAUGCCACAGUUAGGGGUCUGGGUUUAAGUUUUCUUCCCUACCUGCAUGAGGUUUUAUGCUGUACAACUGAACAUGCAUGAACUGCUCCGAAAAAAAAAAGUGUACAGCCAGCCUCAGGACACUUUCUCAAAAUAUCAUCAUAAAACACAGAAGCUCUAGUCUGCAGCCAGACUGCAUGUUCUGAACUGGAAGUCAGGAUUUUGGGACAAGAAAAGCCAAUUUUAGAUCUAGCAACUUUUCCAAGUAUUCAUAUGCAUAAAGAGAGAAGCUGUUCGUUUGAUUAAAAGCAGCUGUUGGCAUUAAUCUAAAUUACUCACUCUGAAUUCAUACUCUAUGAGGUUUCCAAUAUUAUCUUCAGAUUUCAUAGCACUCUCACCAAUGAUGUUACCUCCAAAAUAUACCUGAGAAGGCUUAGCAACUCUGUUCAGGUGGGGGUGGGGAAGGAGAAUAAUCAGAUUUUAAUGAAGUCUGCAGCAAAAGUGUCAUCCCCAGCCCCCUCCAUUUGUUAUGCUAUCAACACUUACCCAGUGAGUGAUAAAAGCAAUUCAAGAACCACUUUAGCACUAGCUGUAAUUGGAGUUGAAUUAACUUGAGUGCUUGUUCUACAAUGAAAAGGAAACAAUGCCGUUUAUUUUACAAAUUUCACAUUUUCACUUUACUAUUAAAUUGCUUUUGUGAAUCGAACAAAUUAAUUCAAAACAUUUACAACUGUAUAUAAAAACAUAGUGAGCACACACACAAAGAAAACUUACGUUUCCAACUUCAGAUUAAUGUCCAAGUCUGUUGUAUCAACAUUAACUUUAGUGGUACUUAAGAUCAGAUAAAAGGUUACCUAGACAAGAAAGAACAUCCAUGAAAUAUGUAACCAUUUUAUAAAAUAUAUUAAUAUAUGCAGUAUUACAGAAAUACACCAUCAAAUUCUAGAGUUAAAAAAACAGAUCCAAAUCAAAUUUCCAGUUAUGACACAGAAACUUUGGACAACUGCAAUCAGGAAUCAGAUUUUAUAACUUGAGUAAAAUGGGCGAAACUUACAUUAGAAUUUCUUUUGAAAGGAUUUCCAAGUUCGCACUCUGCUUGAGAACCAUUUUGGUUAGCACCACACGUUAGCUGUUUUUCCUGAUUAAACAGAAUGCAUUUAAAAAUAAAUAUAUGCUGAAAAUAUUUUAAAAUUGAGUAUCUUUUCUCUUAAAAAAAUACUUACAGGAUAACCCCUCAUCUCCCUGAAUGCAGAAUACGUCAGACUGUCUGGAAAAGUUGCUAUUAGUUUGGCUUCAUAUGCAUCUUCACCAUCUUUUUGGGGAUUUUUUGCAUCAGAUGGAUUGUUUGUCACCGUUAUCUCCAGGGCAAUAUCUUUCUGAUCUUUCAGAACCAGCACUGGCAUGCCAUUUUCACUACAGAAACAGAGUAUACAGCGUUGGGUACAUUAGGAAAACAAACAUAUAUGAAAGUCUGCUUUUUACUGUGGCUUACCCAAAUAUAACUCCCUCUAUUAGGGAAGAAUUACUCUAAGACCAUAAACACAUGAAUCGUCAUAGGUGUUUUUUUUUCCCCAGACCAGUAUUUACUCUCUCGAAGUGGGCAGCAGUUAACAGGAUAGAACAGACUGAUAUACCCCUCAAGUAAUCACGAGCUUAUAGUAUUUCUGAACCAGCACUUGUAUCUGGCUCAUGUUUAAUAGUGAUGAAUUUUCUCUGAAUAAAUCUACUGACCUACUUUUUUCUUGUAAAGUAUACGUGGUUUUGUCGUCCCAGUCAGGUUGUGGCACUCACUGCUAAAGGAGACGAACUGUUGACAGUAAGUAAACAUACUUCCUUUUGUUUGUUUCACACCUCUUUUCUAAUUUCACUGGCCCUCCAGGGAGGAGAGGUGCAGCGCGGUGUUAGCUGUGUGUUACAGUGAAAUGAUUUCUCUGUUCACUUCUUUGUAACUGCUUCUCUUAGGCUACUAGACUAUAGUAUAUCAUGUUAUCAUACUCGCAAUCAAACCUCAUCUCAAUAAUAGUUAACAGUAUCACACACAGUAAGCUACUGCAAGGCUGGUUUACAAUCUCCUUUCUCCAGUGUUAGAAACUUUUUUUUCUAACCUUUAGCCCAUACCUGCAUGGUUGUGGCCACCUUGUAUCCAUUUGUCUCCGUACCCCUACUCUUCUUCUGAAGCUCAUCCCCGCUCCCCCCCCCCUUCCCCACCCUGACAGAUCAGUACUACAUCAUAGGGCUGCGUUUGCCAGACUAACAGAAUAAAGCUGCUCUAUCUCCCAAAACCCUCUCCCAAAAGUUCUUUGAAGCACUUGUUAAUAAUUUGAAUUUUAGCAAUGCAUUAAUCAAGGCUUACAUUGGUAAAUAAGUAAACCUGUCUUCAUUUCCUUCUCUAGUGCAAAACCGGUACUGAAGUUUCAGAUUGCUGUGACAUUUAUUGUCUUCUCCACAUCCUUCUUUUAAGAACUCCACCUAAAUAAAACCAAAGCACUUUUACUGCAUGCCACAUGAUACUAGCUUAACACAAGAUUCUGAUAUGCACUGCAUAAAGCACCUACAGGGAACUCAGAGACAUUUUCCUGGACAGAGUAAGAUUUUUAACCUGACUCUUACUUCUCGCCUGUCAAGACAGGUUUUUUUUUGUGAGACAUAGCCCUUGAUGCUGAUAAUAUAGAACUUUAAAUGUGACUAAAAGGCAGAGUUAGAUAAUUCUAAGUGAGAGGUACACUUCUAAUGAGGAAAACCAUCUGUAAGUCUGAUUCUUCAGUGAGCACCGAGGAAAUGAGAUCUUUUACCUGAGAAACUCCCUCUCUUUUACAUCACUGCUGCAGAGCUCUAACGCUGCUGCACCAUCCUUACCAUGGAAUAAUUAGGCUGUACAUUAUUUUGUGAUGUGGGACAAGUGUUCACAGCGGGAGAUGAUGGAUUUCCAUUUUUAAUCAAAAGUACAUUUCCUGCUAAAAUUGUUGGGGACAGAAAAAAAAACCCUAGCAGCUAUACUAUCUUCCCUUUUGUUGCAAAAGAAACACAGGAUCUAGUUCAUAACGUUUUGUAACAAGUUCAUAACAAAAUACAAAACAAAAGCCAGUAGUUACAAGUCCAGCGCCACCCCAGUUAUUUCCUUUGGUUGUAAUUUAGCUUUCUACAGCCUUUAAAAUUCAGUGAUUUAUCAAACUGCAGAUUUAUGGGAAAAUGUGUUAUCAGAGGCUUACUUUUGUGGUCUUUGUUUCAGAUUCAUUUGAAUUUAGAAUUGGUAUAAGAUCCGGAAGUGCUCUCUCUUUUCUUGUGGAUGGUGAACUAGACUCCAGGCCAGCAAUUUUAACACUGACUGAUAUUGGAAUGGGGCGUAGCUUAUCUUUAAUUUUUUCCUGUUAAAAUAUUUUAAAUGGCAUAAUUAGUGCAGAGAAGAAAAAACAACACAAUGACUAGCUUUUGAUACACAUUUUAGAACAAGCAGUGAAGCAAACUCUUCUGCUACAUUUUGCCCUAUUAAAACUAUUCACUAUAUAGAAAACCAGCAUUUUCUAAAAAUGGGCAAGAACACGAGGAACCUAGCCCUGCUGUCUUUUUUUUUUUUUUUUUUUUUUUUUUUGGCUUCCCAAUCUGAUGAUUUCUCUCACUGUUAAGAAUUCCUAGGAACAACAGAUGGUAACUCAGGCAAGUGGAAUUCACACUACAACAGUAAAAUAACAUUCAAGCUCUUUAAUCUGCUGUGGUCAAAAGCAGCCUCGGAGGCUGGCUCAUUACUGCUGAGCCACACAUACAGAAUUUGUUGAGCUCCUGGAGCAGUGCCACCUUUAAGGGCCAGCGUAGCAGCCGAGUCAGAGAGCACACACCAAGCUUUCUCGUCCUGCCCAUUCAUACCCUCUGAAACCUAGGGGUUAAAAUUCUUUUCCUAGCCAGUCACACCAUUAAAUUCUGUAACAAUUACUUCUGUUGGAAACAGCUCUCCAUUUUUGGCGUUUAUUCCCUCUCUUAUUCUAAAUUAGUUCAGCACUAUUGACCUCCAGAGCAUUCUGCAGUGGCUACAACUUUUAUUCAUACUUUGUAAGAAAGGCAACAGGAGGAAGCAGCAUGUGUGCAGGGAACAGUAAGAUACUACUUCACUAUGGUUGUUUUCUAGUUUUGAAGCUUUAUAUUGCAUGUGCCUUUUAAAUUCUACACAAAGGUACCAUGAGGCUGAAAAAAAGAGCACACUUUUGUUUUAAAUGGAUCUAAAUGAAAUAAAAUACUCUGCCUUACCUGCAGUACAAGCUUGGUUGUCACACACUCUUUUGAGUUCUGCCCCCUUAGGGUUGUACUUGCAGUAAACUGAUCAGACAGGUGGUCCUUAAACCGUACCCUAGAUGGCAGGCCUAGCUGCCUCCUCUCAUUUUCUGCUUCAAAUGUAUAGUUGAUCUCUGUAUGAAGAAAUAAAGUAGGUCGCUAUAAAAAAGAACCCUUGCCUUAUUAAAAAGAACUUUUAAUUUCUCCAGGUACGAUCAUACAACAUUAUUCUAGAAGACUGUUUCAGUCAGUGCUGGGCUUCACAAACUGUUUUCAGUUAUUUACAAAACUUUCUCCAUCUGUCAGUUUUGUCCCUCUCCAGUUGAGGACUGGGUACCCUGUGCGUUUAUCUAAAGGAACCUUCUAAACCAAGUCCUUUUAUUCCAAAAGUACCCCAUUACUUCACCAGCAUGCAGAGCUGGCUGGAGGAGAUGUAAUUGCUGCUGUUGAGCCAGCAGAGGGCUGAGAUACAAAAACUUUGUAAAUACUCUUGACUUGCUGUCCUUGAUUUCUGUUUUGUCCCAAAUAGCACCUAAGCAUCCAGCAGGGUUUUCAGUCAAGGUACACUGUUGAUUUUAACACUGAGGCCAAAAGUGUGACUAGAGCUUUAUAGCUGUAUGCUGAGGCAUGUUUUGAUAAGAGCUGAACUCUGUGCAUCUUCUAAUGAUCUCUGUAUUCACAGAGCUAAUCCAGUGUUGCAAGAACGGGAACAGCACUGAGCGUGCCAGGCCUCGGGAGCAUGCAGAUGGGCACACGUGAGCUGCCUCUGAGAGCUGGAAGCACUUGACCUGUUGAAGGACCAGGACCUUAUUCAGGCACAUCCUACAGCUUUUACUAGUUACUGAGAAACUCAAGACAACCCAGGAGGAGAAGGAGGUUUGGGCUUAAAAUUCUUCUCGUUUUCUCUCAAAAGCCUACAGUUUUCUGAGGUGUACUAACAGCAGCAUUGUAAUGAGAGAAAACAGGAGACAUGAGAAACUAAUGCUUUACAUUUUUAACUGUAUUUACGGCACAGUCUUCUAGGUUCCUGUUAAUACGAAGAUUUUUUUAUUUCAGUUACCUAUUUCCACAAAACCAUUUUCAUGAAUGCAGAACACUGUUUUAUACAGUAAGUCUCCAAUAAGAAAUGAUGCUUACUAGUGAUAUAUGAAAUGGGCUUUUAAAACUAUUUUCUAAAGCAGCAGUAACCUAGAGAGGCAAAAUGUUUUUGGUCUGUAUGGCAGCCAUUUGCUCACUGGCAGUCAUAUCACCCAGAAAGCUUCAGUUCAGUCUGUCAUCCACAAAACUUCCUAACACACCAGCAUGACUCUAAAUACAUGUUACUCUACAUACAGAUAGUGUGAUAGCUGAUUGACCUUAGUAUUCAGUCACGUUUUAAAUUUGAUGGUCAGUCUGAGAUGAGUCACUAUAAUUUGCAUACUAUUCUUCCAUGAUACACUCUAAACAAACAAAAAAAAAAAAAAACCAAACCAUGUAACAAACAGAUAAAAAAUACUUCUCUUCAAAACUUACUUAUUCUUGGAUUUAAAUCACUGGGGUUUGCAGUAUAUUGAAAACAUGCUUUCACAUCCAUCCUGUAAAAAGUGGCAAGAAAUUGUUAACUUCAGUAAGGCAUGGUCCAACAGACUGAAAAGUUUUAAUAGUCCGUUGACUGAUAUUAUCAGUCUUAUGACCGUGUUAUUCGUGCUAGAACACUAAUUUGCUGCUUACUAAACUGAAUUACAAAGCAAGAAAAAAUGGUUAAUAAGCAAUUAGAAAAAAUAUUUUCUGGCAUUUGCUCUUACAUCUCUACUCAGGAGAAAGCUGUACAAGUUAAGAUACUUGCAAGUGUUAAAAGUCUUAAGUGGCAAAGUGACAUUCAUUUUCAAAAAUGGACAUUAUGAACAGAAUAUAUGCCACACCUUUAGUACAGUAGGCAUAAAAAAUUCAGGAAGUCAAAAUGAUCACAUAUAGAUACAUUUGCUUAACCUGCGUGACUGUCAUAUCCCUUCACUUUAACAUCAUCACUGACUGAAUGAAUUCUGACAACAGAAAACUUAAUACACCAAGGCUUCUGAUAGAGUAUUUUUUUUUUUUAGUUACCAUAUUUCGCUACGGUCCUCAGGGUUCUUUUUCUUUAGAUCAAUUCUGUCAGGCUGUACUGUAAUGCUUCUUCUAAUGCUUAUCACAGGCCGAGAUCUUCAUUUGGGGGGAAAACAGGGAGUAAAAAGAAGGAAAAGUUUCUAUUAAGAUUAAUGAAAUAAUUCAUGUGAAUCCCAGGUGUCCUCCAUGCCUGCACUGAUUUGCAGCAAAGACACCCCAAGAAACACAGAGUUUGGCUUUGAUAAUGGUUAGAAACAAAAGAAGACUACUUAAAGCUAAGCAAAGCAAGUCACAAAAAACAACUGUAUUAAAUGCCUGACAGGGAAGCAGGGUACAUUAACGUGAUGUUGUGGUUGUCAUUUUAUACACAUAAAAACCAGAAAAUUCAAAGGGAUGUUUCCAACCCCAAUGGCAAUUCAGCCCCUGCGAACAACUGUAGGUACUGAAGUUCAUUCAGGUUGAUGUCCGCAACAGCUUUAAUGUGGAGCCUGGGUGGCUGGGGGAAAUUAUGUUUUCAUUUCCUGACUCCUCUGCAUGUAGGCUGUAACCAUAAUUCAGCCUGACAAGUUUUCAUUUCUCCUCCUUUUUGGAAGGGACAAGAAAAGACAGUUCACACGAACAAAUGAAUGAGCUCAUACUGGUCUCAUCAAAGCAUCUAAGGGUUUUUUAAAAUGGCCAGUAAGCCACCUCCUCCUUUUCUAGUGCAUUUCUUUUAACUGGGCCACCCAUUGCACUCUUCAUCACCAUAAAGGUUUUCAUUCUCACCUUUGUACAAGUUUUUGUACUGCCCAUAUCAGCAAAUGAUUAAAGCUCCUUUUGAGUAAGCAGAACACUUAAUAAUCUAACCGACUUCCCUUCCACUUACUCUAUUCUCUUCCACAAGCAACAUGAGUUGCUUUUGUUGAGUGCCGUUUCAGUGUAUUUAAGAACGUUCCAAUUAUGUACACCAAUCCUAUACACCUUAGAGAUGUGAUCGUCAAAAAAUUGUAGGAAAGGUCGUUCUGCCUGAAAGGUAGAGUUGUUUUCAUCCCCAAAAUUGACACAACCAGUUUUAGAAUUUCUGGUCCUCCUCCUUUGGGACCUGACAGCAACCACCAAACACCUGAACCUGAUGCAGCCUUCACAGCUCUGAUGAGGAAAGAGUCCUCUUCCUGCUCAUUACUAGUGAUUCAACUUAACAGUACAUUAAACUGGAAAAAAAGCAGAGGUCUGCAAAAGACCAUGACCUCAUCCCUAAUUAAGGCAUGUGCUACAGAAAUCCAAAAGGAUCCUAUCUGCAGGGCUUCCUCACAGCUGCUUCAUGGACCCCACUGCAACCUCAGCAAGGCUGUAUGCCUCACUGCUUUUGGAUCCUCAGCUCCAAAAGAAGGGUUUGGUUUGGGUCUUUCUUCAAUAAAGCAGGAUUAGAUUUAUGUAACAGCAGCAAACAAAAGCUCUAGCAAAUGUAUCAGUUAACUUGUCUUUUCUUAAGGCAAAAGAAUUACUUGUCACCCUUAAUUCUAUCGAAGGACAAGGGCAUCCAAGUUAGUUACCACAGGGCAAAGCCAGGGUAGUUACAGACAUGCUACACACAUCAGCACUCCACAGUAACUGUCCCCAUUCACCCUCUUGCCCUGUAUUGAUUGUAAGGCAGCUUCUCGGUCAGAAGAGGGGCAUAAAGUAACAAACCAAUUUAUGGAUUUUUUUUCCCCCCAGAAUUUCCAACUUCUAGAAGGAAAAAUACACUCCAGGCCAAACAGCUUUUUGUUACUUCUAAGCAGUUUGUUUUUAAAAAACUAAAACCAAAACCUUGGUGUAAUGCAGUUCUGUAUAUAAUACCUGAAAACAGAUACAGAAUCCGAAAGGGAACCAACAGCAACAUCAGGGUAGGCAUUUUUAUCCAGGUCCAUGUUUCCAGCAAUAGAGUAACCAAAAAAACUGGUGCCUGUUUUUUCACCAUCAAGAAUCUGAAGAGCAAACAGAUUGAGGAAAUUCAGACAUUUAAAAGCUAUAAAAGCGAAGUAAGUAACAAGUGAACAUCAUUGUCUUAUAGCCAGGAGGGGGGGGAAAAAAAAAAAAAAAAAAAAACACACAAGGAAAUAGGACCUCUGUGUUCAGGUAAAUGACACUGCAGUGCCAAGAUGAUUUGCUUUUCUUCCAAGAAGCUACUUUGCAACAGCAGCGAGUACCAGAAAUGAUGGCUGUUUUGCAUAGGAAUGUUGCCUAGCUUGUGUGUCUUUAUAGUAUUUAUGCAGUGUAGACACUUGAAACUGAAAAAGUAUUCUAGAAAGUAUUCUAGCAGUAUUCUAGGAAGCGCCAUCAAGUUCCAUUCUCACCUUGCUAACUGAACGUCCUCACAAAAAAAAGAAAAAGGCAUAAACAUUUUUUAUUAAAAAAGUGAAGUAGUAGUAGUAGUAGUGAAAGAGAAAAUGAAGAAACCAAUUAUUUUCAAAUCCCCAAAUUUCUUUCAAAAAAACAAAACUUACACAUCUACAUGCCUUCUUCCUUCUCUACAUAUUACUGGUGCUAAAGGACUGCCCCAGAAAGAAAAAUGUGUAUUAAAAUCAAGAAUUCCUAAUCUUUCUGGUCAGCAGUGCCAUCUUUGAAGGGUCCUGUGACUUUUCUGCAUACCCACCACCCCAUUAAUACUAAUAGAAAGGGAGGAGAUGGAUAGCCCCGUCAUUCCUUUCAUUUUGUGCAAGACUAAUUAUAUAUAGUAAAGGUUAUUUCAUUA